AUUGCAGCUUAGGGGGCCACAGCAGAAGCAUUCAUGUUGCAACCCCUGUCAGGUAAUAGCUGGUAAUACCUGCUAAUUCUGCU
ensembl:ribozyme